CUAAUACAUGCAAGUCGAGCGGAUGAAGAAGAGCUUGCUCUUUGGAUUCAGCGGCGGACGGGUGAGUAACACGUGGGCAACCUGCCUGUAAGACUGGGAUAACUUCGGGAAACCGGAGCUAAUACCGGAUAAAAACUUUCUUCACAUGAAGGAAGGAUAAAAGACGGUUUUGCUGUCACUUACAGAUGGGCCCGCGGCGCAUUAGCUAGUUGGUGGGGUAACGGCCUACCAAGGCGACGAUGCGUAGCCGACCUGAGAGGGUGAUCGGCCACACUGGGACUGAGACACGGCCCAGACUCCUACGGGAGGCAGCAGUAGGGAAUAUUCCGCAAUGGGCGAAAGCCUGACGGAGCGACGCCGCGUGAGCGAUGAAGGUCUUCGGAUCGUAAAGCUCUGUUGUUAGGGAAGAACAAGUACCGGAGUAACUGCCGGUACCUUGACGGUACCUAACCAGAAAGCCCCGGCUAACUACGUGCCAGCAGCCGCGGUAAUACGUAGGGGGCGAGCGUUGUCCGGAAUUAUUGGGCGUAAAGGGCGCGUAGGCGGUCUCUUAAGUCUGAUGUGAAAGCCCCCGGCUUAACCGGGGAGGGUCAUUGGAAACUGGGAGACUUGAGUGCAGGAGAGGGAAGCGGAAUUCCAUGUGUAGCGGUGAAAUGCGUAGAGAUAUGGAGGAACACCAGUGGCGAAGGCGG
rnacentral:rRNA from 1 species